GUUUUUAAUGUGUCUUACAGGAAAGGACUCCUCUGCAUGAGGCAUCUGUCAAUGGCCAGCAUGAAACUGUACAAGCUCUACUGGUGGCUGGUGCAGAUGUGAACUCACGAGACAUAGCGCAUAUCACCCCUCUGCACGAUGCAGCUACAAAGGGCCACCACGAAACUGUCCGGGCUCUACUGGUAGCUUUUGCAGACGUAAAUGCAAAGGACUUGGAGCAAAGCACUCCCUUGCACAUGGCUGCUGGAAAUGACAACCUUGAAGCCGUAAAGGCUUUACUGAAGGCCGGUGGGGAUGUGAAUGCACGAGACACAGAGCAAAGAACUCCUCUACAUCUUGCAGCUAGGAACGGCUGCCAUGAGACUGUCAGAGCUCUGCUGAUGUCUCAUGGUGUAGAUGUUAACGCUGUUACCAAUCAGCAAUGGACUCCCCUGCACCUGGCAGCCAUGAAUGGUCACCAUAAGACAGCCUCAGCGUUACUGACAGCUAAUGCAGAUGUGAAUGCACGGGAC